rnacentral:lncRNA from 1 species
CCCAUCAGAUACAUUCUCGACAGCAGAAUGCUCUGGAGUUGGUCACGUUCAAUGAUGAUGUACCCUUACAUCUCACCUGUAUGCCAUACCAGUGUCUCCACACUCUUUGGUUAAGAGGACAACCAACCCAUAUGGCCUACAGCGACCUAUGCUCGAUAGAAGCUAUCGUCCUUAUUAACAGCCUAUCAUUUGGUCGUGAACAGUUUUAAGGACUAAUCG